GUGAAACAUGGGGGUACCACAUGUUGAGAAUGAAUUCGACGAGAAGAAGAAGAAGCGCUCGUUCCUUGUGUGUUGCCUGGAUCGCCUGCAGCCUGAAUAUGGAUUUCAGUAACAACCGGCAAAGCGGAAGGCCUCUCGUACGGAGUCCAUCCGAGGGCACACACUCCCGGCAAAUGUUUUCGACUUCUUCCGGUUGGUCUCCCCCCUGGGAUUCUUGGACUGGGAUGCUUCCCAUUAGCGCCGAGGCCUUGCCAACUCGCACGGAAAGUGACGCAGCUCGAGACCGUCCAGGGCGUCAGUCCAGACUCAUCCUGGUACCGGCGGCGGUAGUGAUGUUCCUGAUGGUCUCGUCCAUCGUGGCCUCGCUGUUGUUCGGCUCUCUGUUGGGAAGCCGUGCCGCGAUGGCGCUCGAAACUUCAGAGAGCGGCGCCGAAGCUGUGACCGGGGGAACUCACGUCAACACUCUCGAUGCUCGCAUGUUAUCUUCCACAGACGACAACGCGCAAGGGAACGACACCAGCUCGGUGAUCGGCGACCCGGAACCGUGGCGUCGAAGAUCUCGCGUCCGUGACCCAUCAUGACUGAGUGUUAACACUUAAUUAUACUAAUUUUGACUUCAUUGUAUUUAAAAAUACAAUGCUUAGUUUGGUUCACCUUUGCUGGUUCAAGUAUAGCCCAGUUCUUUUAAUUUUAGAGUAAUAAACGGGGCAAGGAAUCAGAA